UGGGGAAUUUUGGACAAUGGGCGAAAGCCUGAUCCAGCCAUGCCGCGUGAGUGAAGAAGGCCUUCGGGUUGUAAAGCUCCUUUAGUCGGAAAGAAAGAGUCGCAAUGAAUAAUUGUGAUUUAUGACGGUACCGACAGAAAAAGCACCGGCUAACUACGUGCCAGCAGCCGCGGUAAUACGUAGGGUGCGAGCGUUAAUCGGAAUUACUGGGCGUAAAGGGUGCGCAGGCGGUUUUGCAAGUCAGAUGUGAAAGCCCCGGGCUUAACCUGGGAAUUGCGUUUGAAACUACAAGGCUAGAGUGCAGCAGAGGGGAGUGGAAUUCCAUGUGUAGCAGUGAAAUGCGUAGAGAUGUGGAAGAACACCGAUGGCGAAGGCAGCUCCCUGGGUUGACACUGACGCUCAUGCACGAAAGCGUGGGGAGCAAACA
rnacentral:rRNA from 1 species